rnacentral:rRNA from 1 species
GACGAACGCUGGCGGCGUGCCUAAUACAUGCAAGUCGAACGCAGGGGGGACGGGUGCGUAACACGUGGGUAACCUCCCAUCAGAGGGGAUAACACUUGGCAACAGGUGCUAAACCGAUACUGAUGGAUGGACCCGGGGUGCAUUAGCUAGUUGGGGAGGUAACGGCGCACCAAGGCCACGAUGCAUAGCCGGUCUGAGAGGGUGAUCGGCCACACUGGGACUGAGACACGGCCCAGACUCCUACGGGAGGCAGCAGUAGGGAAUCUUCUGCAAUGGACGAAAGUCUGACCGAGCAACGCCGCGUGAGUGAAGAAGGUUUUCGGAUCGUAAAACACUGUUGUUAGGGAAGCGUUAUCUAAACAGAAAGCCACGGCUAACUACGUGCCAGCAGCCGCGGUAAUAC